UCCGACCCUUCAUCUCCUUCCCAGGACGGAGCAGCCCGCCGCUCAAUGCCUCUGCUUCUUCCUCCAGCGCCAGCGGCGCCUCCCCUCCCCUCCCCGGCUCCCCCGCCCUAUUGUUGCUUCCUCCAGCAGCACCUCUUGCCGCCUCCCCUCCAGGAUCCUCUCGGUUGCUUUACGCCGGCAGGGAGCAUAUCCGCCGCGCUAACGGUGUGGUUGCGCUUCCCCUGCCCCCACCACACCCCCGCGGGAAAGCCGGAAACCGAUGAUUCCCUUCAUAACGGUCAUCAUGUGCUACCGACAACCCUUCCCUCCAUGGCUCCAUUGAUUCGUCUCCUGCAUCUUCUUUCACCUCCCUCAAACUUUCAAUUUUGGUGCGGAACUAAACACAGCCCUACUGAAGGAACUCCUUUCUUUGGCUUCAACAGGCAACAGCGCGCCAAAAACUGAUCUAUUCACCGGUGGCCACGUUCCCGCCCAUAGAGUAUCGACUAACAAAAAAAAAAGUCCCUGCUCUUCUCCAGCUUAUUGAAAAAGGCAUUUCUCCCGUCUAUUUAGCCGGAUCAUUCCUGUCAACAUAGUGCGCUCCAGCAGAUUCUUACACAAUAAUACAUCCAGAUUUUUUCAUGUAAACUACAAUGAGCUGAAAGGUUGCUGUGUAUGAAUCUGAUUCAUCAAGAUAAGGGGCCAGGUCUGUAUCUCGAUGACUUUGUUUAAUCUUUCGUUUAGCUUAUUUAAUCUUUUAGCCAUCUAUGUUUAGUUUAUUUUAUCGUUUGUUUCUCCAAGGUUUAUUUACCUAAACCUUUGAUAGCAUGCAUUCCCUAUUCAAAUAUGUGUUUCACUCUUCCUUUAUCAUUCCCUGUGGGCAAUUUGAUUGCUUCGUAAUCUGUUCAGUUGAGAAGAUGUUAGCUGUGCAAUCCUAUAUUGCGAUUCACUCUUUUAUCAUCCCUUAUAGCAGUUGUAUAACUUUACGUCUUUCUAAUCCAUGAAUCUUUUAUUUCUCUCACAAACAAAGAGGUAUUGACACUUCAGUGUUGACGACUCAUUUAGGUAAGACUUCAAUCCAUACAAAUUCAGCUCCUCAGUUGUCCAGUAACUUUGUUCCAUCCAAGUUUCCACCUGUACGAGGUACUACAUUUUCAUCUAUGCUGCAUAGGUGCCACCUGCAAUAAUCCCCUGUAUUAUUUGAUUGAUUAACUGUUGUAGGCAUCUGUUAGCUUACUUGCCGCUCUUUCAUAUGUACAACUGCUUCCAAAUGUGGUGUGCUGCUCCUGUCAAUCUUCAAUCCGCAAAAAUAAGGCUGAUAGCCAAAGGUUUGUUUGGAAGAUUCAGUAUUCUCCGUAAGCAGAAGUUCUCAAAGCUACCUUCUACCUAGAUGGCCACUAGAAGGUUGGACUCCCUUUUUAUGCUACUAGAUCAUACAUCCUUACAUUUUUUCUUUGGAUUUUCAUGGCACAUAUUUUCGCUAAUGGCGAACAAGUUUAUGAUCCCCUAUCUUUCCAUCUUCCUAUUUCAUUUGUUUGUCACUAAUGAAAAUUAGGAUGGUGAUUUCAGAACUUUUUGAGGGAUUCACCCUAUUUUCCAGUUCUUUCAGCUCAAUAUCGUUCCUUUUGAUCGUAAUGAUAUAAUGUCAUCAAGUGAUUUGAUCAAGCAGAAAGAGUGCAACCAAUAACCAUUUGCAUCAGUACACAGGCCAUCUUGCAAUGCCAUCUCCUAUAUAGGUCAGCUUGCGCAAAUACGCUGUUGCUCCAUUGAUCACGUUGUUUGCUGGUUGUAGAUGAAGAUGCUUGAUGCUUAAUCAAAUAAUGUACGGACUGCUGCUUAAAGCAGUUAAAUUAGUAUGUUUAAAAAGAAUGAACCUAAUAAUCAGUUCCAUUCUUGAUGAACUUGCCGUAAGUUAAAAACAUAUUUGGCAUGCUUUUCUAAUUGUUUGAGUUUAUAUUGUAGACAAUCCCA